CACCUGUUGCUACUUGCAGGGGAGUAAUCCAGGUGUCUGGGUGCUUUUCCAGGCCCUCAGAAGCCUGACCAGCUGUACCAUUCUCCACCACUAAACAUGGGACUUGCUGAUUCUUUUCCAUAACUCUGUCCCUUCCUGCCAGAUCAUUUCCUGGGCUUUGCUCCUUGUGUCAUCUCCAGGUGUUUGGCUUAUCACAGCAUGCUAGGUUCCUCUCCUACUCCUGCCCCAUCUUCCAGUGCGAUCCACUGACCCAUUCCAUGGGAAACACAGAGCCCUGGUCCCGCUGGUGCUACUUGCUCCAACCAGCCUCCCCAGGGGCAUGUGGAGCCGUAGCUUCAGCCAGCUCUGUCCUCACAGAUCCAGGUGAAGCAGUGGGACCAACCCAGCUGUUGGCUUUGCUGGGAAUCUGCUCGUGGCCUAGGUGAGCCUGACUGACCCGGCGGGCUUGGAAUGAGCCUGGGUCACCAAGGACUGGGGAGAGGGGCUGUGAGAGGGGCCAGCAUCGAUCGCUCACUGCUGGCCGGAGAGCAAGCAGAACCAAAUCCCGCUCUGGGACAGCGCAAGCAGAACCACAUCCCGCUCUGGGACAGCAGCUGAUGCCCUUGCGGAAGGACUUCCCUGGGUAGCAGCUGCCACAGCCCCGUGAUCGCGGCCGUGAGCCCGCGGCGCUGGCUGGCCCGGACACCUGCAGCACGCUCCGGUUCGCCAGCCAAGUCUGGUACAUCCUGCUGCCAGUGAGGAUCGGGCGGGAGGGAGGCAGGGAGCUGCCCGGGAGCUGCUGAGUUGGAGGCAGGACGGUGCGUGGCGGGAUGGAUUGGUGUUGCAGUCAGCAACCUCAGGAUCUCGUCCAGGGAAGCAGCAGGAUUCUGGGGACCAGCAUCAAACACCAACAAGACGGGCUCCCGGUUCAUGAAAACAUUUAUUCAGGAUGGGAACAAACCCAGGUCCAGAACAGAGAGCUCCGAACAGAGGCACAGCAGGGGUUUUUGCGGGACAGAACUCUUAAGGGUUUCCACCUUUGAGGGUGGAGUUCAGGGUCAGGGACCAAGGGAGAAUCCCCCAGGGACUCAAACCCAAUCAGAGCACCUGGGCCGCCUUUCACAAGGGGUUUGGGGUGGGACAAUGUUAACUCUUUGUCUCCCUGAGGCACACUGCCACAGAUUGGUGGGUGCUCCCGUAUGCCACUGGAAUUUCCCAGCCUUGGGUGUGCCGCUAUGGUCAGAAGCAGCUGACUGAACUCCGGCACCGUGUGCCCAGGAAGAACCAGAUGUGCAAGAACUGCAGCUCCACGUGCCGGGAAAAGGAACUGAGUGAUGAAGCAUUUGCUGCAUCUGAACACUGCGGUCCAUCUUGCCCCCUCUUUUCCUCCUCCUCCUUCCCCUUUUUCUCAUUACCGUCAUUCCAAAUGCACAUUUCUCAGAGGAUAACCAGG